rnacentral:rRNA from 1 species
UACGAAGGGGCUAGCGUUGCUCGGAAUCACUGGGCGUAAAGGGUGCGUAGGCGGGUCUUUAAGUCAGGGGUGAAAUCCUGGAGCUCAACUCCAGAACUGCCUUUGAUACUGAAGAUCUUGAGUUCGGGAGAGGUGAGUGGAACUGCGAGUGUAGAGGUGAAAUUCGUAGAUAUUCGCAAGAACACCAGUGGCGAAGGCGGCUCACUGGCCCGAUACUGACGCUGAGGCACGAAAGCGUGGGGGAGCAAACAGG